rnacentral:tRNA from 2 species
GGCUCCAUGGUCAAGCGGUUAAGACAUCGCCCUUUCACGGCGGUAACGGGGGUUCGAUUCCCCCUGGAGUCA